rnacentral:misc_RNA from 1 species
UUGCAUCAACUCACUUGUUGCACCGUUACAGUUAUUCGGGCGACGAAACAGCCGUGCGGAGAAGCGGCGGUGGCGGACGGGAUAUUUGGUGCCGAAGGUCAUCAAAGGCUAACACGAACUUUGAAGUACUUCCACACUCAUCGGCGGUGAUGCGGGAUAUGUGGCUUUUUCGAUGCACACCGUCGCGCUCGCCCGAGCGGUGCGUUUCAUCGCGAAGGCAAGCGCACACGCACAGAGGAGGAGGAUGCCGCUCUCGAUCAUGUGAGUGGAAGAGGCCUUUUUCUAACCUCCGUGAUAAGAAGUCGAAAUGCCGUGGCUAGAUGCUAAUUCCAUCCGCCGUCUCUUCCUCACCCCCCACCACUUCUUCUUUGCACCCCACAGCUUGUAUCUUUUAUGUAUCUGUUCGCGUACCCUCUCACCACGGUCCUCCCACCGCACUUGCCGUUGUUGUUGUUUGUUGUUGCCUUUCUAUUCGAUUCUCAACUCCACGUCCUCGACAAUCUGAAGAGCAUGUCAGAGCGAAAAAAAAAAGGGCAAGCAAAGAAUAAGGAGCACUGGUAAAUAAACGAAUAUGAAAGAAUCAUUACCCCCCUUCCGUCUUUAAACCGAAAAAGUAACUCCUCGGCCUUUCUGGUGCCAUGGAGGCUUUCACCGACACGGUUCCGUAUGUCUGUGUGUGCGUCUGCACUUCUGCUUGUUUUCUAAUUAUUUUUUUUUUGGCUUCCAGCUCUCUGUGCUUCUUUAUCUCUUUACCACUCAAGCAUCCGAUCGCUUGCGUGCGUCUGAUCGUGUUCGAUCUGAAUCCCCCUCUCUUCCCUCUUCCUUUACCCCUCCCCUUCUGUCUUUUGAAGUUCCUCUCAUUUUCGUUUCGUUUUCUCACACAAGGUUGCCUUUCAGAUUUCGUCCUUUUAUUUGCUGCGUUUCGCUGCUGUUGUACGCAUGUGCUAUAGUGUCUCUCUUACCUUUCUUUGCCCCUCCUUUCGUAUGUACUGCUCUUCCCCCUUCUCCCUCCUCCCUCCCCUCUCUCUCCUUACACAGGCGAAAACAAAAACGAAGAAAUGCCGGAGUGGCGGCUCAGGUGAGACGUUGCUGCCGUUGUUGCGAUUCCUGUCCAGCUCAGCUCUCUGUUUACUGUUUUUUUUUUGCUUUUCUCCUCUUUCCCUUCUUGUUUUGUUCUUUUCGUCGUCCUCGGCUUUGCUAAUCGUCUGGUAUCUCCCAUCUACUCCUUCUGUCUCUUAUCUCCGUGGACAGACUUUCCUGUCCCCCGUCCUGGAGACCUCCGCCCCGCCUCCCUCCUCCUUCCGAGCCGCCCUCCGAAAGAAGUAGACGGUAGAGUGGACCGCGAGAAGACGGAGGGUCUGGGGGGAGCGAGGGACGGUCACACAGCGCCGUACGGGCAGUGGAGGCAAAGUGGAAAGAGAAGAUGUUUCUUCUUUUUGUGUUCUCGGGAGUAAGACAGAAC